UAACAGUUGAAUCUCAGCUUGAAAAUAAAGCGAGAUGUCAAAAAUCUUUUUUCUUGAAACCCGGAAAAUUUUGAUAAUUAUUCUUUUGCCGUAAAAAGUCAAGAGCAUUCACUUAGGGUGAGUAAGAAAUAAGUUGGGGAGAACGAAAAAGAGAAUCGGUAAGUGCCACAACUCUUGAAAAACCAAGCAAGCACUGAAAAUAAAAAAAAAAAUUAGAAAAGAGAAACAUUUGUUUUGUAAAUAUGAUGUGAAAGAAAAGAAAAAAUAGAGAAAAUGAAAAUGAAUGCUUGCUGGGAAGAAAAAUAGUGAAAAACAAAAAUUGAGUUGUGAAAUAAGAGUUAUGAAGGUUUCAAAUGAGAAACAAAAGGGAACGAAGUUGAGAUGUGUGAAUAGUGUACAGUGAAUGUCUCUUUUGCAUCGGAAAUUUCGUUUUCAAUGGCCUUAGAAAUGACCCUUGUUUGUAAACCUAACCAAGCUACAACCGGAAAGUCCUUAGUGAUCUUCGUGCUUCCGCAUUUUCAUUUAUAAUUGUUAGACAUUGUAUGAAUUGAAUUGAUUUCUUCAUUGUUUGUUGGAGAGAGAGAGAUUGUCCCCGCGGUUGCAAACGCGUAAUUUCUUCAAUCCUUAUUCGAAGAGGAGAGAUAGGGUGAUUCAUUAAUUGAUUUCUUCAUUGUUUGUUGGAGAGAGAGAGAUUGUCCCCGCGGUUGCAAACGCGUAAUUUCUUCAAUCCUUAUUCGAAGAGGAGAGAUAGGGUGAUUCAUUCAAGAUAAUAUUGUUGUGGAUAAAUACAUAUUUUGCAUUUCUAUUAAGUUUUAGUUUUUGUGUAUUAUGUUAUUCUAACCAUUGGGAAUUUGUAUCUGGUUUAUUCGCUUGUGUUUGAGCCGUUUUAUCCGACUUCGGAGAAACCUUUUUCUUUAAGCAAAUCAUCUUGUCCUUCAAGAGGCAUACUUUGCUUGAGGACAAGCAAGAAUCUAGUUGGGAGAGUUGUUAGAUGCCAAAAAGUGCUUAUUUGAGCUAUCAAAUGUGGGCAUCUUUCACUCCUUUUUGUUGCUAAAGUGUUUGAAACUGCCUUUGUUUUAGAUGAAUUGCAAUACAAUGUUAAACGAUAUUGGUACCUUUAAUUUAUGCGUUAUUGUGCAGGAAUUAGGCAUGAAAUAAUAGAAAAUGAAGGCACAAGAAAGUUGGCAAAGGGACUAAGAAAAUAAUGCAUUCAUCAGCAUGCUCGCUAGGCGAGUGCUGUGGCGAAGUGUUCGCUAGGCGAGCACCCAGCGAGCUGCUAGCGAGCAUUCCCAGAAUUUUAGAGUAGCAAAGUCAGCAAACUCGCUAGGCGAGCAUCCAGCGAAGGUGGUAGCGAACACGCCCAGACUUGGUCAAAAGCACAGUCAGCACUAAAUCGCUAGGCGAGCACCUAGCGAGCUCCCAACGAGCAAUUCCAGUAGCAAAACCAUCUAAGCUCGCUGGAGCGAAGGUGGAAGCGUGGGCUUCGCCUAGCGAACACAUGAAAUAUGGCGAAGGAUAUUUCUCUGGGCGCAGGUGCCUCUGGUGCCUACUUUGGGGCUCGCUAGGCGAACCAUUCUGCUCGCCUAGCGAGCAUGACAGCUCAGACAGCAGUACUAUAAGUAGCAGGGGCUACUUUUUGGAAGCCAUACUUUGUACUUUUUAAACUUAGCAUUUCUUAGAUAUUUUCCAGCAUUGCUCUAGAGAUAUUUUGAAACCUAGAAACACAUUUUCUUCAUUUUUCUUCAUCUCUUAACAAUAUUCCACAAAAAGAAGGUGGAUUCCCAUCCAAUCUCGAUUCUUCGACUUGGAUGUUGAUCAACCUUCAACCGAGACUUGUUGUACAAGCCCAUGAAAAUGAGUGGCUAAGUUCUUCAUUUGUCAAGGUUAGAUGAGUGAUCAUAAGCUUUGUGUAUAUGAGAUGAUCUUCAUUUGUAAACAUCUUUAAUGAUGAAUAUAUGGUGGAAAGUUUGUUUUAUCGAUAACUCUUUGUGUUGGUUUAUGAUCGAGAGAUGUUUACCAACUCUUUACCUAGGUUUUCAUCCAAUCUUUUUGUUAGCUUAGAGAUAGUAAUGAAUGAUUUUGUUCACAUAAGGUUGAACCAAAAGUUGUCAUUUUUGAUAGAUUGUGUUAGAAUAAACAAUGGAUCAAAAUGGGAAACUCACAAUGUGUGUUAGAGAUAAACACAUUGGAGGACUUUGUAAUAGUUUAUCAUCUAAAGAGUUAUGAGUCUUGUUGAUCGAACGUAUAAUGCAAAUGAUCGUCGACUUAACUUGACAAUCUUUCUAAAUAGAAAACCAAAACUUUUACCGCAUUUUCUUACACUUUUAUGCAAGCUACCGUGACUAAAACCAAAACCCCCUUGUUACUACGAGUUAAGAAUUAAAACAACUGUCGAACGGCGGCGAUAUCUCACAAUCCCUUUGCUCACUUGAGCUCAUGUUUAUGUUAAUGCAAUUUGCCUUUUGCUCACUUGAGCACAUAAUUGUGUAUAUACUAUUGUGCUUGUUUUGUUUUGAUUGUGUGAACAAAAUGAAAAUGGACAAAAGGACUUAGACUUUAGGAUAUUCCCUAUGCAAAAUGGAGUCAAAGAGCAACUAGGCCUCAUGCCUUUAGAAUGCUAUAAAAGAAUAAAAAUGUCAAAGAGCAACUAGGCCUCAUGCCUUUACAAUGCUUAAUCUGGAAGAGGACUUUGAAAGGACCAAAUUCUAAACUCACUCUUGUCCAUUCUUUCUAUUGCAUUGUGGAACUUUUUGAUUUGUGUGUUCUUGUGCAAGGGAUCCCAAACAUUGAGCCAAGUAGAAGAACCAUUGUCAUGAGCAUAUAAAGUGAGAGAUACAAAAGCCAUUGGAAGAUUCCUAGGAGCUUGCUUGCUUGAUUGUUUGCUUGAGUUAUUUGCUUAUUGCUUGCUAUUCCAAAGGAAAGGGAACAACUUGGAUCAUCGCUAUGAUCUCAAGAAGGGAACUCCAUUGUGGUUUAUUUUCUCCUCUUUCAUCUUUGCAUGUUUAGGACCUUAGCCAUUAUUCUUCUUCUCUCCACUCUAACCCAAGCCAAACUUUUGUGCAAAUAUUAACAUUGUUUUCAACAUUAGAAUCCUAAGCAUUAUGCUUUUGAUUUUCCAAACUUCUUUUCAUAACACUUAUUUUGAAUUGAAUUCUAGGUCAACAUUGACCUUACAUUGUAAAUACUUUUCAUUGGUAAAUACAAUUCACUUAAAUGUUUUUGUGGUUUCAGUGGCCACUCCUUGCCAAAGCUUUUCAUAAACAUUAGCUAUUAGGUUUGAGUUAUCCUUGAGGUUGAUAUAAUACUCACCUAUAUCCUUAGUGAUGGACCAUAAGACUUCCAUGCUUAUUAUAGGGUUAAGGUUGAUAUAAUACUCACCUAUAUCCUUAGUGAUGGACCAUAAGACUUCCAUGCUUAUUAUAGGGUUAACCCCUCACUAGCAUGUUGAAGCUCUCCUCACAUGGUGGAUUUGUGGUUUUAGGUUGACUUUUCUCCCUUUGAUAACAAAAGACCUUAAGGUUUUUCACCAAUUAAUUCACCAACUUCUUUUGAGAUUUUUACCCCGAACUAUGAGGUUUUGAUCCUAAUCUUUUUAAAGAUGGUACGUAGGCAAUGGGUUUAUCCAUUCAAACACAAAAUUGUAAAUAAUUUGUACAUUCUUCUCUCAUCUCCCCAAUCAUGUUUGCACAAAUAAUUUUCACAAAUACCAACCUACCUUACCACAAUUGUGAAAAGGGCUCCCUAGGAGUACCUAGGAUGUUUUGGGUGCUUAAAACCUUCCCAUUGCAUAACCAACCCCCUUACCCAGAUCUCUGACAUUUUUAUUAGUUUUUGAUUUGGUAAAACUUCUCGAUUUUUGUUCGCUUUCUAACCUUUCCUUUGGAUAAAUAGAAGUGCGGUGGCAACUCGAAUUGUAUGAUUUACUUUUGAUUUAGUUAAUAAAUCUAAAGGUAAUGAAUACCCCGCUACACCUUCAAAUCACCAAAUUAAUGGCCAAGGGAUUUAUCCUAGGUCAAACAAGGUCAAAUGACCUUAGACAAAAAAUUUAGAAUUUUUGGAAAGUCAUAAGUAUUUUAAAAUAUUUAAAAACAUGUCCAAAAUCAUUUAAUUCACAAAAAAUAUCAAAACUAAUCCUAAAAAUGAUUUUAAUUCAAAAUAUAGAAGAGGAAAAUAUUUAAAGAUUUUUGGUGAAAGUCCCAUACUUUUUGGAUUAAAAGUGAAUUUAUAAUGAAUUAAACAAAAUAAAAGGAUUAAACAUAAAAUCAGAAAUAAAAAUAAAACUAAGAAAAAACAAGGACCAUCAGAUCUGCCUCAUUAAUUGAGGUGGCAGAUCAGAUGGCCACGCGUGUGGAGUCCAUGGUGGACUCUGGUCAACACGCUGUAAAGUGAGUCAUUCAAACCAAGGGCCAAGAUUAUAACAUUUAAACGUGAUCAAAGGGAUGAGAUGAUGCCAACACACCACUGGAGUGAGGGCUCUAGUCAUCUUCUCCGGUGGACCUCACCGAACUGGUCCACCAUCAACCUUCACCAAAAUGAAAAGUGUAUAUGCUAUUUUGAAGAGAAAAUUGUCAGGAAUCCAAAUCUUCCCUCAAAACUCUCCAAUUCUUACUAUAUUGAAAGAUACGUAGAAUUGAAAAUUGAGGAGUAUGAACUGAGUUACUUUGAUUUGACCUCAAAGUAACUCAAUCUUGUUGCCUACAUUGGUAGAUCUCUAAACAACCAAAGAACAAGCAAAAUAGUGGAGAAUUGAGGGAGAAUCGAAGAAGAGAAAAAUCAGAAAAUUCACCUUUGGUUUGCUUUAAUUGAGCUUGAUCUUGCUUCCAAUUUGCUUUGGUUCGUCUCUAACAACUUGCAGGAAGUGAAAUGGAUUAUUAAAAGGCUUGGAUUCUUGGAGUUUCAAUUCCAAAACAGAAUGAGAAUUGAAACUCAAUUUCAAGAGAAAUCCUCAAGUUUAUCUUUUAAUGGAGGUUGAGGAAGAAGCACUGCAAAGCUUGGGCAAGAGGAAUCUCAUUAUGAGCUUAAGGAUCAUGUAUAUAUAGCCUACACAUUGCUUUCCACACCUUUUGAAAAUUUUCCAAAAAUAGCAAUACAAUGGUGCAUGCUUGCAUGGGCGUGUGCUAGGCCCAACGAAUGAUUGAAAUGAGUCCAAAAUCGUGCAUAAGUGAUGCUGAAACCUUAACAUGAGGCUAUGCAAUGUGGAAUGAAAAUUGGUCAUGAAAAUCUUCCAAAUGGGGCCAUGCAAUGCACCCAUAUGCAAGUCACUCAAAAAUGCUCCAAAUGCCAUGAUCUUGGACUCUUUGGAAAGGUAACAUGAAGGGUAGAAACUUUGCUGUUGAAACUCUUUCCAUUUGGAGCUUGGAUCAUGAAAAAGUUUAAGGUGGAAGUUGGAGAAAUCAAACAUAGUUGAAAAAUUUCUAAGUUAAAAGUCAAAUGAUCACUUUUUCCACCUUGAAUAACUUUUGCGAUAAGCUUCAAAUGAAAAUGGUUACUUAUUAAAAGUUUUAGAUAUUUCAUUCCUUUUUAAUUUGAGCACAAAUUUGACACCAUUUGAAUCUUGCAUGAGGGAGUUAUGGAUUUUAGAAGUUGAGGAAAAAUGCUUGUUCAAUGAUGAUGGCCCAAAAUGACCUAUAAUGUUUCAUUUUGGUACAUGCCCUUGCAAAUAGAUUUUGAAAUUUACCGAAGAAUAAAAGUUGGAGAAUACAUCUUGAAAUUAAUCAUGAAACUUGGAUGGUAUUCAUAUCAGAAAAAUUUAGCAAGUUAUGGUUCUCGGAAGUUGACCUUCUAUCUAGGGCACAAACAAAAUGACCUAUAAUAUUUCACCAUAAAAAUGACUUUCCAAGCAAACUUAGCUCUUGAUGCCAACAUGAAAUUUGUUUGGAAUGUCAUAAAGAGUAACGUUUCUCUUGGAAUAAUUUUCAUAUGACAAAACUUGAAGGAUACAGGGUCUAGGGAAGCCUAGAUUUGACCAGUUGACUUUCUCUAGUCAACCUCUUUGAACCAUCUUGCAAACUUGAAGUUCUUUUUAUCUUUGGGUCUCAUGGAGAAUCAUAUAUGCUUGAGAUGAUGUACAAUGAAGUAUACUUUGAAAUCUUUGACCAAUUGAUGAAGAAACUGGCUGAGGAAGUCAUACAAGAUACCUAGAUGAAUUAGGGCUUCCAAGGAAAACAAACUUCAAACCUUUGAUGAAUUCUUGAUCAAAUUGACAAAUAAAGUACAUGGGGAUCCAUAUAUGAUGCUUAGAACCAUGGUGAACCUUUCCUUGAUUGAUCUCUUUCAUUGAGGGAGUCAAGCCCUAGAUAUGAGCUUGAUAGGGCACAAAUGGAUGCACACACUACCUACAAAAGAAAUGAAACUAUACUAGACAUAUUUUUGGUAUUUUGGUUAGUAAACAAAAGAAAAUAAAGUAUGAUACAUUAAAAUGUGUUUGGUGAUAUCUCCCAAUGCAAACCCAAUGAAUGAGGGGUAAGGAGGAUACCAAGGUGUGAUCCCAAAGCCAAUGCAAAUGAUGAGAUAGUAUGAGGGAUCUUAAGGUUAAAAUUUGGGUCUUACAGUUACCACUGUCAUCAACAGGACGAAUGUAGCCAUAAACUACCAUAUAUCAUAUAUCCACAUCAUGACCAAGAAAAAUACUUUCUAUUUUAUCAUUCCAAUAGUCAAAAUUUUAUCCAUUAAAGACUGAAGUUUUGGCACGAUAAUGGUCUCUUUCAUUGUUACUAGCGGGUGCAGUUGGUGGAGGAAUUUCUGCCAGAAUGUUUCAAAAGUCUGGAUCUUUAUCUAACACAAUGAAGUGUUGGAUACACAAUCAAUACCAGAACCAGAGCUCUGAUUCUAAUUUAACGUAAUGGAAACACAAGAAAGGGGGUUUGAAUUGGGUUUCAAGAAAUAUAACUUUUGCAACCCAAAGAUGCAAAUAGAAAACUAAGAACAAAAAUAAUGAACUCGAUUAUUUUUAUCAUGGUUUGCUAUUAACAAGGUGAUUUCGCCUUAUCACAAGGACUUAAUCCACUAUAAUCAAACUUGAUUACAACAAAAAGACCAACUGUCAAUGUCUUUCUGAGUAAUUCUGACUAAAUCCUAGUCACUCAAGAAAAUACAAUCACAAAGAUUGAGAUGCAAAAUGUGUUUACAAAAUGCUUCUGAGAAAGAAAAAUACACAAAUGAAUUACAAGUAUAGCACAUAAAAUAUAUAUUCUAUGAUGAGUAUGAACAAAAAUUCAUUGUGUGUAUGUUUCUUUUCUUUUCUCUCAAAAUAUUUCAUAAAACUCAUUAUUCAUGUAUAUGUUAAUCUCUUAGAGUGUAGCACAAUUCAAUUCUUCCAAGUCUUCUUUAUAUAGGCAAGGAAGAGAUCCAUUGGAGGGUAAAAUUGGAAUACUUAAAUGCAAUUGUAUCUUUGCAUAACGGUCUGUGAAAAUGAGAGACAAAAUGAUACAAUAGUCAGUCCUUAGUCCACAAAAUCAUUGUAGUGGAUGAAUAUUUGAUCUUGUACUGUGUACUAUUUUCUCACGUAAAACCUUUUUGAUCUUAUCUUCAAUUUUCAGAGGCUUCUGAUAAAGAGGUAAUGAAGCAUGUAUAGAAGGAAGAAUAAGAGUCUGGUUGAGAGAAUCUUCAGAAACUUUGUCUUCAGAGUCUUGAUCCAGUUCAUCAGAACAUGGUCUUUAGAGUCUGGUGACACAAUUCAUCCGAAUUUUUUAAGCGCACGACUCCAGAGCUUGACAACGUCAAAAUCGGACUUAUGAAAUGAAAGUUAUGACCAAAAUCGUCGGGAUGUGUCAACAAUUCAUUAACCGAACGUAAGAACAAAAACUUCACCAACACAGUAGGCAUAGGAAUAAUAUUCAAUCAAUUCACUUAUCACCAUCACAUUAUAUCUCUUAGAGUCACCUUUCUAAUGCUUUAAACCCCAACCCAAAAUGAUUCACGAGUUGAAAGUUAUAAUCAAAACCGUGCACGAAGGCGUUACUAAAAAGUUGUUAUUUUCUAAAUUUUCCGACAUAAUUUUCAUCUUUUUCAACCCCAAAAACGUCCAUGAAAUAAUCUCCAAAAUUAUUUUAUUCCUGAAACAAAGUUAUAGCCCUCUGUUUCAGAUAUCCAACGCUUCAAACGACACUCGAUUUAGACUUACGGAUCAAAAGUUAUGGCCAAAACGAUUUCGAUCAAAAAACACAAUAAAAUGCUCGUGAUUGUGAGAGACAGAAUGCAUAAUUUUCUGCGUUUUUCAUCGUUGGAGGCCUUCCGGGUCUCCGAUUUCGAUUCCGUAAAAAGCUAAACAUUCAGUAAAUUACAACCCAUGCAAUACUAUAAUUAUCUAAUAAUUUACAGUUUUAACACAAUUAAAUCAUCUAAUCACUGUUUCAAGAUUAUGCCUGAAACCUUCAAAAUUGCAACAAUGGUGAAUAUAAGUUCAAUCAUCAAAAUAGAAAAUUACACACAUAUAAGACACAUGACAUUUAUCAUAUAAUCAUCAUGGCAUCCAAAUUCAAAAUUAUGAAUCAAAACACUCAACCUUAAGGAGGUUAAGGGUUCCUCCAUUCUAUCAUUCUAUCAUACCCUUUACUAUUGGAACAAGUUCUCACCCUUACCUUAGAUUUUCCAACAAGAUGCACACUUCAAGCUCUAACAAUGGAGUUUUCUUUUAGCCAUAUCUCUUCCCUCUUCUCACCACAAAAUUCUAUUUUACGUAAAACCCUCCAAACUCUCUUACUAACCUUUUUAUCAUUAACCUAAUCCCCCUCAAUUAGGAACUUCCACCAUUGCCCUCACUUAUCAUAUUAUUUACCACCAUAUCCCUUUUGACUCUAAUUUUCUUUUAAUAAAAUAAUACUAAUAAUAUUCUUCUUUUUCUCGAUCGUAUUUCUACUCUUUUAUUUUAUUCCAAUCAAUUAAAUAAAAUAGUUAUAGGUUAAUUAUUAAAAAUUCUCAUUAUCCCCAUUAAAUAAGUAAAAUAAUUAAAUUUCAUUAUUUAAUUAAGAUGCUCAUAUUCUAGUUAUUUAAUUAAAUAAAAUAGUUAUAGGUUAAUUAUUAAAAAUUCUCAUUAUCCCCAUUAAAUAAGUAAAAUAAUUAAAUUUCAUUAUUUAAUUAAGAUGCUCAUAUUCUAGUUAUUUUUAUUUAUUUAUUUAAUUAAUUCAAAUAAUACACUAUUUAUUUCAAUCACUAAUUAAAAUUCUAAUUAAUUAUCAACAACUAUACCAAAUUCUUAUUGCCUCCAUACUUCUAUUUCAAGGAUACCUACCCCCACAAUCAUACACAAUUAAUUUAAAACACACAUUAAUCAUAUAAAAAUCUAAAUAAUUCAAAUUAAUUAAUUAAUUAAAUUCGGGGUGUUACAGGUGACACAAUUCAUCAGAAUUUUUUAAGCGCACGACUUCAGAGCUGAACAAUGUCAAAAUCUUCUGAGUCAUAAAGCUUUGGAUAAACUAUGUUCAGAAGCGUUGAGUACAGAAUCCAAAGCUUGUUUAUCUUGUAGAACACACAUCUUAGAGUCAAAGUGCACUAGGUUCAGAAUCUGAUGUUGUCACACAUCAUUCUAUCAAAGUCAAAACUCAUCUAGUAUUUGCACACUAAACAAAACCAUUAAGAUACAAAAUUGUUCUCUAAAAAUCUAUGUAUUGUUAUUACCAAAACAUAAAGUUAGAUGCAGAACCAAAUCUUAUUCUUAUAAAAUUACCAUAAUUUUAUUUUAUUGAAAUUUAUAAUAUAUCCUUCUCUUGACAAUGUGUGGUCCAAAUUUUUUUUUCCAAUAAUUGAAAAAUACUAUUAGUUUUUUAGAUUAUUUUUUUUUUCUUUUUUCUAGACUAAAGAGGAUAUUCAUUACUAAACUAAUAUAUAAGUGUUCACAGGGACCAAGUUACUCAUUCAUCUUCUUUCUCAUAGUCCAUCAUUUGUGAUAUUAGUUCUAACAAUGUUAUCACUAGUACUUCUCCUUGCUAUAGGUGCUUAAUUCUCUCUCCUAAUCUCUCCGCUAAAACACAAAACCACUAAACAUUUUCCACCUGGUCCUAAAGGCCUUCCCAUAAUAGGAAAUCUUCACCAACUAGACCUCCUUAAUAUUAGUGUUCAACUUGCAGACUUUUCAAAAAUAUAUGGUCCUAUAUUUUCACUUAAACUUGGUUCAAGACAAGCUAUUGUAGUUUCUUCAUCUGAAAUUGCCAAAGAAAUUUUUAAAAAAAAUGACCAUACGUUUUCUGACAGACCUCAAUUAUAUAGCCAACAAAAAUUAUCUUAUAACGGAUCAGAAGUUUUAUUUUCACAAUACAAUGAAUCUUGGAGAGAUAUAAGAAAAAUUUGUGUUAUUCAUAUUUUUAGUUCCAUACGUGUAGCAUAUUAUUCUUCCAUAAGAAACUUUGAGGUGAGGAAACUGAUUAAAAAAAUAUCAGAAAAUGCUAAUUCUUCAAGUGUUACAAAUAUGAGUGAGGUAUUGAUAUCUCUUGCAAGUUCUCUAAUAUGUAACAUUGCUUUUGGAAAAACCUUUGAAAAUGAAGGACCUGAGAGUAGUAGUAGGUUUCCUGAAAUGUUGCAUGAGUUUCAAGCUUUGCUAGCAGAAACUUUUGUUGCUGAUUAUAUUCCAUUUACGGGUUGGAUUGAUAAAGCGAGAGGAUUGCAUGGUCGUCUUGAUAAAAUUUACAAGGAGUUUGAUAAGUUUUAUCAAGAGAUUAUUGAUGAACAUUUGGAUCCAAA
rnacentral:lncRNA from 1 species